UACGUAGGGAGCAAGCGUUGUCCGGAUUUAUUGGGCGUAAAGAGCGUGUAGGCGGUUUGGUAGGUCCGCUGUGAAAACUCGAGGCUCAACCUCGAGACGCCGGUGGAAACCAUCAGGCUAGAGUCCGGAAGAGGAGAGUGGAAUUCCCGGUGUAGCGGUGAAAUGCGCAGAUAUCGGGAAGAACACCCGUGGCGAAGGCGGCUCUCUGGGCUGUAACUGACGCUGAGGCGCGAAAGCGUGGGGAGCAAACAGG
rnacentral:rRNA from 1 species